rnacentral:rRNA from 1 species
GAUGAACGCUGGCGGCGUGCCUAAUACAUGCAAGUCGAGCGAACGGACGAGAAGCUUGCUUCUCUGAUGUUAGCGGCGGACGGGUGAGUAACACGUGGAUAACCUACCUAUAAGACUGGGAUAACUUCGGGAAACCGUAGCUAAUACCGGAUAAUAUUUUGAACCGCAUGGUUCAAAAGUGAAAGACGGUCUUGCUGUCACUUAUAGAUGGAUCCGCGCUGCAUUAGCUAGUUGGUAAGGUAACGGCUUACCAAGGCAACGAUGCAUAGCCGACCUGAGAGGGUGAUCGGCCACACUGGAACUGAGGCACGGUCCAGACUCCUACGGGAGGCAGCAGUAGGGAAUCUUCCGCAAUGGGCGAAAGCCUGACGGAGCAACGCCGCGUGAGUGAUGAAGGUCUUCGGAUCGUAAAACUCUGUUAUUAGGGAAGAACAUAUGUGUAAGUAACUGUGCACAUCUUGACGGUACCUAAUCAGAAAGCCACGGCUAACUACGUGCCAGCAGCCGCGGUAAUACGUAGGUGGCAAGCGUUAUCCGGAAUUAUUGGGCGUAAAGCGCGCGUAGGCGGUUUUUUAAGUCUGAUGUGAAAGCCCACGGCUCAACCGUGGAGGGUCAUUGGAAACUGGAAAACUUGAGUGCAGAAGAGGAAAGUGGAAUUCCAUGUGUAGCGGUGAAAUGCGCAGAGAUAUGGAGGAACACCAGUGGCGAAGGCGACUUUCUGGUCUGUAACUGACGCUGAUGUGCGAAAGCGUGGGGAUCAAACAGGAUUAGAUACCCUGGCAGUCCACGCCGUAAACGAUGAGUGCUAAGUGUUAGGGGGUUUCCGCCCCUUAGUGCUGCAGCUAACGCAUUAAGCACUCCGCCUGGGGAGUACGACCGCAAGGUUGAAACUCAAAGGAAUUGACGGGGACCCGCACAAGCGGUGGAGCAUGUGGUUUAAUUCGAAGCAACGCGAAGAACCUUACCAAAUCUUGACAUCCUUUGACAACUCUAGAGAUAGAGCCUUCCCCUUCGGGGGACAAAGUGACAGGUGGUGCAUGGUUGUCGUCAGCUCGUGUCGUGAGAUGUUGGGUUAAGUCCCGCAACGAGCGCAACCCUUAAGCUUAGUUGCCAUCAUUAAGUUGGGCACUCUAAGUUGACUGCCGGUGACAAACCGGAGGAAGGUGGGGAUGACGUCAAAUCAUCAUGCCCCUUAUGAUUUGGGCUACACACGUGCUACAAUGGACAAUACAAAGGGCAGCGAAACCGCGAGGUCAAGCAAAUCCCAUAAAGUUGUUCUCAGUUCGGAUUGUAGUCUGCAACUCGACUACAUGAAGCUGGAAUCGCUAGUAAUCGUAGAUCAGCAUGCUACGGUGAAUACGUUCCCGGGUCU